AGAAUCUGAUCCUGGUUCGCUAAGAACGCUAUAGAUGUACUUAACACAUUGCUAAUCGAAUGAAAUUAAAAAUAUUAUGUUAAAUAAAUUUUUAUUUACAUGGUGUGCAACCGAGUAAUUAUAUAAGAAUCUACCUUAAAGAUAGGAAUAAAAUGCCUAAUAUAAAAGAAAGAUAUAUUAAUUAUCGCUUUUAAGUUGAGCUUAUAUCGAAUCAUGGUAGUUGGUGGGAUAAUAGCUUACCAAGCUUAUGACUCGUAGCCAGUUUGAGAGAACGUAUGGUCGGGCCGGGAGUUUAAUAGAUCCGGACAACAAUCGUUGUCAGCAGUGAGGAAUAUUGGACAAUUACGGAAACGUAGAUCCAGUAACAUCGGGGAUAAAUGAGUUAAGCACAAAAGAUCUUUUCUUUUGUAGGGGUUCGGUCUUUCAAAUUUGAUCGUCUGUGAGGAAAAUGACGUUAGCAGAAGAUGAAGCUCUAACAAAUUACGU
rnacentral:rRNA from 1 species